rnacentral:rRNA from 1 species
UAAAUUAUGGUCAAUUGUUAGUAUUCAUAUUAAUUUUUUUAAAUGUUUUAUCAUUUUAUAAAGGUUUAUUUUUGAAAGAUUUUUUGUAUAAAAUUUUAGGAAUAGUUAAUAAUAAUUUAUAAUUUUGAUUAGAUUGUUUUGUUAAUGCUAUUAGAUGGGUGUGGAAAAAUAAAAAAAAUAAUUAAUAUAUAUCAAUAAUAAAUUAAAUUAAUCUAUUAGUCAGAAAUGGAUGCCAGCCGUUGCGGUAAUUUCUAUGCUUUUAAAUAUUAUACAAUUAUCAUAUUAAAUUGUUAAGUGCUGAUUUAACCAAUAAAAAUAUAAAUAAUUUUUAUUUGUUUUUAAACACCAUUAGGUAUAUGCAAAUAUAAAAUUAUAGUAAUUAUAGAAAUUAAAAAGGUAUUGUUGCCCACCAAUUUUUAUAAUAAAAAUAACGUGCAGUAAUUAAUAUAUUUAUAAAAAUAUAUUUUUUUUUUU